rnacentral:sRNA from 1 species
GAUCAUCGAAACGGCGAUCUCCUCCUCCCAAUGCCUUUCGAUAUGGAUCGGCAACUCUCCUCCUCCCAGUUGCUGAUCAGGAUUGAAGCCCGACGGAUCUCCUCCCCCGUCGGGCUUUUUCA